AGUGCAGCGUCUAUCGCAGACAUCCAUGGACACAAGGGGCUUGCUGGUUAUUUAUCAGAGGUUGCACUUACUAGUCAUCUUUCAUCCCUCACAUUUGAAGAAAGUGAGCUUCCUAAAGGCUCUGCUGAGGUAGAAGCAGAAAUGACGGUAAAUUGCAUUUCAAAUGGGAACCUCUCUUCCGCGGAGGACUAUAUCCCUCUAAAAAAUACGUUAGCUGCAGUAAGGAAUGCUGCUCAAGCAGCAGCCCGUAUUCAAUCUGCUUUCCG
rnacentral:misc_RNA from 1 species